rnacentral:rRNA from 1 species
GAUGAACGCUAGCGGGAGGCUUAACACAUGCAAGUCGAGCGGGAUUAGCAGCAAUGCUAUGAGAGCGGCGCACGGGUGCGUAACGCGUAUGCAACCUGCCUUAUACAGGGGAAUAGCCCAUGGAAACGUGGAUUAACGUCCCAUAGGAUCACGGGAUCGCAUGGUUUUGUGAUUAAAACUGAGGUGGUAUAAGAUGGGCAUGCGUCUGAUUAGGUAGUUGGUGAGGGAAUGGCUCACCAAGCCGACGAUCAGUAGGGGUUCUGAGAGGAUUACCCCCCACACUGGUACUGAGACACGGACCAGACUCCUACGGGAGGCAGCAGUGAGGAAUAUUGGUCAAUGGCCGGAAGGCUGAACCAGCCAUCCCGCGUGCAGGAUGGCGGCCCUAUGGGUUGUAAACUGCUUUUGUACCUGAAGAAACCUGGUUACGUGUAACCAGUUGCCGGUAAGGUAUGAAUAAGCAUCGGCUAACUCCGUGCCAGCAGCCGCCGUAACAC